CCUACGGGAGGCAGCAGUGGGGAAUAUUGGACAAUGGGGGGAACCCUGAUCCAGCGACGCCGCGUGAGUGAAGAAGUAUUUCGGUAUGUAAAGCUCUAUCAGCAGGGAAGAAAGAAAUGACGGUACCUGACUAAGAAGCCCCGGCUAACUACGUGCCAGCAGCCGCGGUAAUACGUAGGGGGCAAGCGUUAUCCGGAUUUACUGGGUGUAAAGGGAGCGUAGACGGCGAUGCAAGUCUGAAGUGAAAGGCGGGGGCCCAACCCCUGAACUGCUUUGGAAACUGUAUGGCUGGAGUGCAGGGGAGGUAAGUGGAAUUCCUAGUGUAGCGGUGAAAUGCGUAGAUAUUAGAAGGAACACCAGUGGCGAAGGCGGCUUACUGGACUGUAACUGACGUUGAGGCUCGAAAGCGUGGGGAGCAAACAGGAUUAGAUACCCGUGUAGUC
rnacentral:rRNA from 1 species